CCCUGGACUAUGCAGAAUGGGAGUGCCGUCUGCUGCAGUUCCUGAGAACAUCUCUGGAAGCCAUAAAGAAUGAGACCUGGAAUAUGAAGCUGAAUGGCGAGUUAACUCAGCAGAUGGCCCACUAUCCAAACUUUUCCAAGGAGAAGAAUUUCCUCUAUAAGGCUGUGGGGGGAGCACUGGCAGCGUCUCAGAACAUCAGCUACAUUGAAGAACAGCUGCAGAGCUACUUGG